rnacentral:rRNA from 1 species
AGAGUUUGAUCAUGGCUCAGGAUGAACGCUGGCGGCGUGCCUAACACAUGCAAGUCGAGCGAUCUUCUUCGGAAGAAAAGCGGCGGACGGGUGAGUAACGCGUGGGUAACCUGCCUCAUACACAUGGAUAACAUACCGAAAGGUAUGCUAAUACAAGAUGAUAUAAGAGAUUUGCAUGGAUUUCUUAUCAAAGCUUCGGCGGUAUGAGAUGGACCCGCGUCUGAUUAGCUAGUUGGUAAGGUAACGGCUUACCAAGGCGACGAUCAGUAGCCGACCUGAGAGGGUGAUCGGCCACAUUGGAACUGAGACACGGUCCAAACUCCUACGGGAGGCAGCAGUGGGGAAUAUUGCACAAUGGGCGAAAGCCUGAUGCAGCAACGCCGCGUGAGCGAUGAAGGCCUUCGGGUCGUAAAGCUCUGUCCUCAAGGAAGAUAAUGACGGUACUUGAGGAGGAAGCCCCGGCUAACUACGUGCCAGCAGCCGCGGUAAUACGUAGGGGGCUAGCGUUAUCCGGAUUUACUGGGCGUAAAGGGUGCGUAGGUGGUUUCUUAAGUCAGGAGUGAAAGGCUACGGCUCAACCGUAGUAAGCUCUUGAAACUGGGAAACUUGAGUGCAGGAGAGGAAAGUGGAAUUCCUAGUGUAGCGGUGAAAUGCGUAGAUAUUAGGAGGAACACCAGUAGCGAAGGCGGCUUUCUGGACUGUAACUGACACUGAGGCACGAAAGCGUGGGGAGCAAACAGGAUUAGAUACCCUGGUAGUCCACGCCGUAAACGAUGAGUACUAGGUGUCGGGGGUUACCCCCCUCGGUGCCGCAGCUAACGCAUUAAGUACUCCGCCUGGGGAGUACGCUCGCAAGAGUGAAACUCAAAGGAAUUGACGG